rnacentral:rRNA from 1 species
UACGGAGGGGGCUAGCGUUGUUCGGAAUUACUGGGCGUAAAGCGCGCGUAGGCGGACCUGCAAGUCGGGGGUGAAAGCCCGAGGCUCAACCUCGGAACUGCCUUCGAUACUGCGGGUCUCGAGUCCGGAAGAGGCGAGUGGAAUUCCUGGUGUAGCGGUGAAAUGCGCAGAUAUCAGGAGGAACACCAAUGGCGAAGGCAGCUCGCUGGGACGGUACUGACACUGAGACGCGAAAGCGUGGGGAGCAAACAGG